rnacentral:rRNA from 1 species
GCAAGUCGAGCGGUAGAGAGAAGCUUGCUUCUCUUGAGAGCGGCGGACGGGUGAGUAAUGCCUAGGAAUCUGCCUGGUAGUGGGGGAUAACGUUCGGAAACGGACGCUAAUACCGCAUACGUCCUACGGGAGAAAGCAGGGGACCUUCGGGCCUUGCGCUAUCAGAUGAGCCUAGGUCGGAUUAGCUAGUUGGUGAGGUAAUGGCUCACCAAGGCGACGAUCCGUAACUGGUCUGAGAGGAUGAUCAGUCACACUGGAACUGAGACACGGUCCAGACUCCUACGGGAGGCAGCAGUGGGGAAUAUUGGACAAUGGGCGAAAGCCUGAUCCAGCCAUGCCGCGUGUGUGAAGAAGGUCUUCGGAUUGUAAAGCACUUUAAGUUGGGAGGAAGGGUUGUAGAUUAAUACUCUGCAAUUUUGACGUUACCGACAGAAUAAGCACCGGCUAACUCUGUGCCAGCAGCCGCGGUAAUACAGAGGGUGCAAGCGUUAAUCGGAAUUACUGGGCGUAAAGCGCGCGUAGGUGGUUUGUUAAGUUGGAUGUGAAAUCCCCGGGCUCAACCUGGGAACUGCAUUCAAAACUGACUGACUAGAGUAUGGUAGAGGGUGGUGGAAUUUCCUGUGUAGCGGUGAAAUGCGUAGAUAUAGGAAGGAACACCAGUGGCGAAGGCGACCACCUGGACUAAUACUGACACUGAGGUGCGAAAGCGUGGGGAGCAAACAGGAUUAGAUACCCUGGU